GGAAUUCGGCAAAAUAGGACCAGAUGACGGGGCCACUGCCGCCCAAGCUGUAAUGAAACAACAGGAACAGCAACAAAUAGGCAACAAAAGCCGUAAUGUAUUGAAAUGUGUUUUUACGCGCCAAACAGCAAAUUGUAUCUGAAGCUGCCAAGAGGGCUUUAAAUACAAAGAAAAGUCUGGCUUUGUGCUCUGUGUGUGCCCCUGUGCUGAGAGUUGUGAGAGUUACACUCUUUGUUGUUAUUAUUGUUUUUUCCAUUGGCCUGUGUGAAUGCAUACAAAUGACAAGAUUCAGCAAACAGGGUUGCCGCUGUUUGGAUAUUUCGCAUUAAUGGAGAGCAUAGAGAAGGAAAAUAUUGGAUUUCGACAAAUAACAGUCUAAUUACAAGUCCAUACACCACCCAUCCAAGACCAAACUGUCUAUCCAUACACCUUUGAAUGCCGCACCAUAGAAAAUACUAUACACAGCAAUGACGACAACACCAACAAUAACAGCAACAACAAGAAGCUAUCAGUCCCCUAAUUUGAUUUGAUUUUUGAGUGAAGAGCCAGCCAGCCAGUGAUCAACCUAUACAAGCCGGGAAUUCGUACAUGGCGGCGUCACAGCAUGAGCAUCAUUUUAAAUAUUUGACAAAAUAAAUACCCACAUAUCAACCAAAUUCAAUUCAUAUGAAGUAAACGAUAUACAAUACAAUAAAAAAAAUCUACAGAAGCACCACCAGCGGCAACAACAACGACAACAAUACAAAAACCAUGCACACACAACACAACUGCACAUCUUAAAUGAUAGUACAUUUACAACAAAAACAAAUAACAUAAAGAAAACUGAUGUGAAGCGAUAUGUAGUGUGGACAACGGUCACAAAGAAGAGAUCUGUGUGACAAGUGCCAUGUAAUGUAAGUAGAAAGUAGGAAGAGCAUACAAAAAUAACUAAAAUUGUCCGAGAGUGUGUGAGAGAGAGAGAGAGAGAGAGAAAUAGACAUACUUUACCAUACUUAAUGAUAGUGAGAGCGUGAGAAUAAUAAACAGUGCUAACUGUAGAGUAGCUAGCACAAGCACACUUACUUGUUUAUAUUUGAUUAGCUAUCAUAA